rnacentral:piRNA from 1 species
UCCACCCUGCUCGGACAUCUCCGUAG